UUAGUUUUGUCUCAGCCAAAAUGGUAACUAAAUAUACAACAACAAAAAAAUAGCUUUCCAGAGAAGAUUAGCAUGGCCCCUGCACAAGGAUGACACACAAAUUCGUGAAGCGUUCCAUAUUUUU
rnacentral:snRNA from 1 species